UGGAGGCCAAAGACGGGGAUUGACACCAUCAUCUGCAUCUUUUCAGUUUCUUUUUCCAACACCAAUGGGUUUGUUCUUAAAUGUAUGUAUUUAUGUUCUGUUCUUCGUUUCUUUUAUGUUCUUGACAAAUAUUAGAAUGGAGAAGACACCCCAUGGACCUGGUCCCUUCACUUUUCAAGGACUUCAAAUGCCAGGCAGAGAAUCUGCGGUGAAUUGUUCGCUGGGGAAGCUAUUGGUCUUUUGCAGGAAGACUGACUGCCAGACAGAGGCUCCCAGCUCCUAGCAGCGACCCUGAGGUCUCCAAAGAAGAUAAUGGAAAACCAUGAUGGCACCACCUGGAUUGCUGAUAACACUGACUGACCAGUGAGCAAAAUGCCCCAAGACAACACCUGCUGCUAGGACCCAGCCCAGACUGAAAAACUCUCACCUUAUGGGCCCGGCAGUCAAAGACUGAUGCUGUCCUGGUGCCUCUGCCCCAAAGCUCUGGAGACCACAGGAGCCUGGGAUGCUUGUCUAGGUAAUGGACUAGUCUCUGCCAUUUUAACUGAUAACACAGGCCAUUCUGAUUAUUCUUCAUGUUAUAAUUUAUCCUUCUCAAAUGUCUGAUUGUAUUGAUGACUAGGCUACCUAUAACUUUGUCAGCUUAGCAGCAACCAGAUUCUUCCACAAGGCCAUAGCCAGCUUGUUAACUCAUUUUAUUUGCAAAAAUCAAGCCUUGUCUACAAAUUGAGUUCCAGAACAGCCAGGACUGUUACACAGAGAAACUCUGUCUCAAAAAAAAAAAAAAAAAAAAAAAAACAGGUUUCAGAAGUAAUUUUAAAGAACAUGAUUUAAAAUAACUGUGCUCGGUAAUAGCUGCUUGUGUCUCUGGUAAAUGAUUAGAUUAAAAGAAGAGGUUAAAGUCCAUACAAGUUUUACAGGUCUAAGGAAGUCUUAAAAUACAAGUUUUAAUGAUAUGUAGAAAAUUGUAAAAGGCAGAAGGGAUAUAAACUGUAUUUGCUUUGGUUUCUCAUAUCUGCAAAUACUAAAUUUAAAAAGAAACCAUAAAAUAUAUUAGACUAAAAAAACACACAUAAGAAAGACAUUAGUUAAAGUUUUUAUGUUGUUUAAAAACAUGAAGAAAUAGAUUAAGAGAAAGAGAGAGAGAGUGGAAGGAAGGAAGGGAGGAAGGAAGGAAGAAAGGAAGGAGGUGUUUGUCUAAAGUAAAAUGUCUGGCUGAACCAGAGGAGCAGAGAUAGAAUAAGCCUGGCCUAAGGGUGUAAGCCUACUCCAGCUGUUUUACAGACACUGUUAUCUUCGUUUUCUACAAUAUGGAUUUCAGUACAGAUUGAUAAUGCUAACAUAUCUAAAACUUUUAUGUCUUUUUGUAAACUAAAAAUUCAUAUAAGCUUCAAAAAAUAGAGAGAGGUAGAAAACUUGGAUCCACUUCUCAAAGAUCAAAAGGACUCUAGAUAAAUACAGCCUAAGAUUCCCCUCCUGUCUAUUCCUAAGGAUGACGUUUCUCUUCCUCUCCUGGUCUUGGGACUCCUUGCCUUCCCAAUUACUAGGACUAUGGGCCUGAAAGUUCCAAAUAUUUUUCUUUAAGUUCAUAAAUUUUGGCUUCUGUCCCGCAGGCUUCCACUUGACUGACAGGCACAUCCUAGCAUCCACUGUGACUAAAACCUGCUCCAAAUGCCUAAAGCCCUGGACUUGCUGAAAGCUGAUGUGGAACAAUCCAGCCGUUGUAAAAGUUCCCCAUCUCUUCAGCUGGGUCAGCAAACCAGAUGCUUUGGAUGAACUCCCCCUUGUCUAAACUCCUUCCUUGCCUUUGAUCUGACAUUACAAACUUCCUGGGCCCUGACAGGAACAUCCUAGUUUCCUGAGGGAGCGCACAGAAGUGGAUCCAUUCCACCUUGGCUAAAGGUCAGAGAUUUCAGACCUAUUCUUGCUCCUUCAAGGUUGUGUGACAAGAGGUUUGACUUAAGGCGGGGUUACUAAUAGGAUGCUUUGGCCUCAGGUGUGGUUACUUGAUGUUUUGGGUAUUAAGGAGGUAAUUACUUUGUUCCUUGUAUCAUAGUAAAGAAUCUUUUGCCUUCCCCUUCUCUUUGAAUUGGGGUAUAUAAAGGCUAUGAGAAAUAAACACGGGGCGAAUCUCAGUAUUUAUUAAAUACCCUCUCAAAGCCGGGCGGUGGUGGUGCACACCUUUAAUCCCAGCACUCAGGAGGUAGAGGCAGGCAGAUCUCUGUGAGUUCGAGGCCAGCCUGGUCUACAAGAACUAGUUCCAGGGAAAGGAACCAAAAGCUACGGAGAAACCCUGUCUCGAAAAUCCAAAAAAAAAAAAAAAAAAAAAAAAUACCCUCUCGACUCUAUCAGUUGUCUCUUAUCUAUUCCUUUUUUAACCCACAUGCUUCCCACCAAGCACACACACGCAUAUGUCAUGUGGGACCCAACAAAUGGCACCCAGCAUGGGCUUCAAAAGAAGCCAUGUAGCUGAUGGAAGAGACAAAUGCUGGGAAAAAAAAUGAUGGCUACCAAGAAGCCUUGCUUAACUCUGUUCUUUUGUGUCUGAAGUUUCUUUCCAAGCUUUCUCAGGUUUUAUGUGGAUAUAGUCAACCACGUUGGGCACCAAUCUGUUGGGAGAGGCUGCUUGUUCAUUUCCUGGCAGCCCAUACUCAAAAUAAUUACUCAGAAACUGUAUUAAGCCAGGUGGUGGUGCACACCUUUAAUCCCAGCACUCAGGAGGCAGAGGCAGGUGGAUCUCUGUGAGUUCAAGGUCAGCCUGAUCUACAAGAGCUAGUUCUAGGACAGACUCCAAAGCUACAGAGAAACCCUGUCUUGAAAAACAAAAAAGAAAAAGAAACUAUAUUAAUUACAACACUGCUGGACCUAUUAGUUUAUACAUAUUUCUAGCUAGCUCUUGCAUCUUAAAUUAACCACAUCUCUAUUAACCUGUACAUCACCACGAGGUUGUAGCCUACCGGCAAGGUUCCAACAUCUGUCUCUUCCAGCAGCUACAUGACUUCUCUUUGACUCCUCCAUUUUUUUCUCCCAGCAUUCAGUUUAGUUUUUCUGCCUAGCUCUAUUAUACCCUGUCAUAGGCCCAAGCAGCUUCUUUAUUCAUUAACCAAUAAAAGCAACACAUAUACAGAAUCACCUCCCACAUCACUGGUUAGAAAAAGGUUAUAGUCUAUCUGAGAAUAAUUGGACAUGAUACUAAUGAGUUCUUAUAUUUGAUAUGUUUAAUAAGACAAAUUUGGAUUUUGAUGCAGCUAAAACCGUUAAAGACAUCCUAGACCAACUUAAAAAGGUCAUCCCAUCUUGGUCAUCCUCUAGUCCUUUAUUAGUAGCUAUGUGGCCAUGGGAGCACAUAUGGUGUGGGAAGUCCCUCUGCAUGUGUGUUGCUUUUAUUAGUUAAUGAAUAAAGCUGUUUCAGCCAGUGGCUUAGCAAAAUGGAGCAAGGUGGGAAUUCCAAGCCUAUAGAGGAGGAAAGAAGGUAGAGUCAGGGAGAGGCCAUGUAGCUUCUGGAAGAGAAAGAUGACCACACGCCAGUACCAGUAAACCAUGAGCCUUAUGGUAAAAUAUAAAAUAAUAAAAAUUAGUUAAUUUAAGAUGUAAGAGCUAGCUAAAAAUAUGCUUAAACUAUUGGUCAAACAGUAUUGCAAUUAAUAUCGUUUCUGUGUGAUCUUUUCAGGUCUGGGCAGCUGGAAAUGAGCAAACAGCCUCUGUCAACACACAUGUGUUACGAAGCAUUAUCUGCUUGCCUAUGAUUCUCCAGUUACUUGUGAGAGAUCAAUGAAAAGUUGGCUGGGAGGUGCUUGGCAUCAAGCUACGCAAUCUCCCUUAACCCUUUAUGAACAGAUGCUGGUAGUAAUGAUGAGUAAGAUCUUUUUCCCUCCAGGCAAUCUAAAACAGGAUGUUUCAUGAUGAAAUGUAUGUACUGAUGAUGGGUAAGUCUGCAAGCUUGAAGAACACAAUCUAAGACAGGCACAGCCAUCUGUCCUGUAGCAGAAGUGCAAGCUUUAAUAAAUAAAUUAAAAAGGGGGAAUCUGUGGGAGCCCACAGAAGUGGAUCCAUUCCACCUUGACUAAAAGUCAGAGAGUUCAGACCUAUGCUUGCUCCUUCAAAGUGAUGACAGGAGGUUUGACCUAAGGUAUGGCUGCAAACAGGAUGCUCUGACCUAGGGUGUGGUUACUUGAUGUUUUGAGUAUUAAAAAGGUAAUUACUUUGUUUCUUGUAUCAUGGUAAAGGAGUCUUUUGCCUUCCCUGCCCCCCUUUUAGGAAUAGGGUAUAGAAAGGCUAUGAGAAAUAAACAUGAGGUGAAUAUCAGUAUUUACUGGAUGCCCUCCCAACUCCAUCUGUGUCUCGUAUCUAUUUCUUUCCUAAUCAACAUGCUUCCCCCAAAGCGUGGAUAAAUAUGUCAGACAGGACCUGACAGUUUCAGCUAGGAAGUAAUUACAGCAUACAAUACAUCUCCCCUUGUCCCCCAACAAAAUGGAAUGUGAAUUCAGAAGGAAACUCCCUGUCCUUUGGGACUUGAGAUAAAAUAAAUAACUGGUUCCCAUUCUCAUAUCCCCGUUCCUUCUAGAUAAUGAGCUCUGUCAGCCAUCACAGGACCUUUGGCCCUUCUGCUUCUGCUAAUUGCUAUUGGCUCUUAUAUCAUUGAUGCCUUAACAAAAUGAUAAUUCCUAUCUGGCUGCUAUUAAACUGAUGGUUAUUAGAGCCCAGUAUCAGCCCCUAGACCAAUCUCAACGGUUCCAGAUAGAGCCAAUCUCAAGGGGAGAAUGAAGGGUUUAAACGUUCCCACUUUUACAGCUGAAUUUCAUUUUCAGUUCUCCGAGAAGGGCAAACAGGUGUCUCUGCCAACAAAGGGCCAUUUGUCAAAAAAACACCAUUACAUUCAGGGAUGAGGAAGACAGCGUGAACAACACCCGAGUCAGCCCCAAACCUUUCAAGGACAGUUCCUGCAACCCCCUUGAAACUUAUCCAGUUUUACAGGAUCCCAUAGACAUAGCAUUGCUCCCAUGACAGUUGGAAGUAAUUCUAGAAGAUGAUGUCCCCUCUCCCAGCAAGGGCUAAGCAGCUGGGAACUAACUAGUGGCCUCCCUCCUACAGAACUGCCCAUGCCUCGACCACUGACAAAAUUCCAGACUGGACAAGAAGGAUACAAGCAAAAAGACUACCAAACCUUACCAAGACAGGACAAAAGGAGGAGAUGCUGUGAGAACUUCUUCAGUCAAUAGCCUUUAAGGAACUGGCUCACUCUGGGCGUGGCCAUGUGUAUACACAGAUGUAGAAACGUGCGCAGUCCCUUGGCUGCUGGAUUCAGUUCCUGUUCCCCGCUCAUGCAGAGGACUGCUGAUCUGUGAGUCUACCCCUAAAUAAAGAGACCC